rnacentral:rRNA from 1 species
AUUGAACGCUGGCGGAAUGCUUUACACAUGCAAGUCGAACGGCAGCACGGGGGCAACCCUGGUGGCGAGUGGCGAACGGGUGAGUAAUACAUCGGAACGUGCCCAGUCGUGGGGGAUAACGUAGCGAAAGUUACGCUAAUACCGCAUACGAUCUACGGAUGAAAGCGGGGGACCGUAAGGCCUCGCGCGAUUGGAGCGGCCGAUGUCAGAUUAGGUAGUUGGUGAGGUAAAGGCUCACCAAGCCGACGAUCUGUAGCUGGUCUGAGAGGACGACCAGCCACACUGGGACUGAGACACGGCCCAGACUCCUACGGGAGGCAGCAGUGGGGAAUUUUGGACAAUGGGCGCAAGCCUGAUCCAGCCAUUCCGCGUGCAGGACGAAGGCCUUCGGGUUGUAAACUGCUUUUGUACAGAACGAAAAGCUCUGGGUUAAUACCCUGGGGUCAUGACGGUACUGUAAGAAUAAGCACCGGCUAACUACGUG